GACGAACGCUGGCGGCGUGCUUAACACAUGCAAGUCGAACGGAAAGGCCCUGCUUUUGUGGGGUGCUCGAUUGGCGAACGGGUGAGUAACACGUGAGUAACCUGCCCUUGUCUUUGGGAUAACUUCAGGAAACUGGGGCUAUUACCGGAUAGGAGCUCCUGCUGCAUGGUGGGGGUUGGAAAGUUUCGGCGGUUGGGGAUGGACUCGAGGCUUAUCCGCUUGUUUGUGGGGUAGGGGCUUACCAAGGCUUUGAAGGGUAGCCGGCCUGAGAGGGUGGCCGGCCACAAUGGGACUAAGGUACGGCCCAGACUCCUACGGGAGGCAGCAGUGGGGAAUAUUGCACAAUGGGCGGAAGCCUGAUGCAGCAACGCCGCGUGCGGGAUGACGGCCUUCGGGUUGUAAACCGCUUUCGCCUGUGACGAAGCGUGAGUGACGGUAAUGAGUAAAGAAGCACCGGCUAACUACGUG
rnacentral:rRNA from 1 species